rnacentral:rRNA from 1 species
UACGUAGGGUGCGAGCGUUGUCCGGAAUUACUGAGCGUAAAGAGCUCGUAGGCGGUUUGUCGCGUCGUCCGUGAAAACUUGGGGCUCAACCCUGAGCUUGCGGUCGAUACGGGCAUGACUGGAGUUCGGCAGGGGAGACUGGAAUUCCUGGUGUAGCGGUGAAAUGCGCAGAUAUCAGGAGGAACACCGGUGGCGAAGGCGGGUCUCUGGGCCGAUACUGACGCUGAGGAGCGAAAGCGUGGGGAGCGAACAGG